ACAGAGUCUUAGCUCAGAAUUACCUUCCCCGUAUUGUUCAUUUAUUUUCUUUUUACAAAUGAUUUCGAUAUAAUCGUCGAGCAUGUGGUCCCAUAUUUUAUGGCGCUAAAUUAUCGGACCAUAAUCAUAGAGUUAAUGGGUUGUUUAUGCCUACUAAUGACUGUGACACAUAAUCGAUAACCGUUCAUAAUGAUUAGAUGUGUUGAGAUGAUAGACCGACUAUAUGUCGAUAAUAGUGGUAAGUCGAUAGUCCUGG
rnacentral:lncRNA from 1 species